CGGUUUUCUGUAAAAAAACCAAUGUUAACUGUCAAUAGUAACACAUUGGUUAACAUCAGUUUUUUUUACAGAAAACCGA
rnacentral:pre_miRNA from 1 species